rnacentral:rRNA from 1 species
UACGGGGGGGGCAAGCGUUGUUCGGAAUUACUGGGCGUAAAGGGCUCGUAGGCGGCCAACUAAGUCAGACGUGAAAUCCCUCGGCUUAACCGGGGAACUGCGUCUGAUACUGGAAGGCUUGAGGAUGGGAGAGGGAUGUAGAAUUCCAGGUGUAGCGGUGAAAUGCGUAGAUAUCUGGAGGAAUACCGGUGGCGAAGGCGGCAUCCUGGACCAUUUCUGACGCUGAGGCGCGAAAGCUAGGGGAGCAAACGGG